AGGGUUUCACUGGUUCCAGUGAUCAUUUACACCCGGAUCCCAGUGCUUCGCAGACUGAUCCCUUACUUAUUGUUCCGUAUGACAAGUUAAUUGGCCAAAAAGUUUCUAUGGAUUCUUCUGUCUUCAUACUCCCUGUGACAACAGCAGUUCUGGGAUUAUAGACCACCGCUAUACGGAUUCUCAAGAUUCAAACUCAGGACCUAAUGAUGUCAUGGUGUGAAAGACAAUGUAUUCUGCACUGAAGGCUGGCUUUCUCAGCUAAAGCAAGUGUUGUCCCUAUGGUCAAGUAAUGAAUCAAUAGCAUACCAUUCUAUGCAGUUGAUUUCCAAU
rnacentral:sRNA from 1 species